rnacentral:rRNA from 1 species
UACAGAGGUCCCGAGCGUUUGUUCGGAUUUAUUGGGCGUAAAGGGUGCGUAGGCGGCGGAGUAAGUUGGGUGUGAAAUCCCGGGGCUCAACCUCGGAAUGGCAUUCAAUACUGCUUCGCUAGAGUACUGGAGAGGAGGCUGGAAUUUACGGUGUAGCAGUGAAAUGCGUAGAUAUCGUAAGGAAGGCCGGUGGCGAAAAGCGAGCCUCUGGACAGUUACUGACGCUGAGGCACGAAGGCCAGGGGGAGCAAAACGGGG